GCAGGCGCGAAACCUUUACACUGUACGCAAGUGCGAUAAGGGGACUCCGAGUGUGAAGGCAUAGAGCCUUCACUUUUGUACACCGUAAGGUGGUGUACGAAUAAGGGCUGGGCAAGACCGGUGCCAGCCGCCGCGGUAAUACCGGCAGCCCGAGUGAUGGCCGAUAUUAUUGGGCCUAAAGCGUCCGUAGCUGGCCGGACAAGUCCGUUGGGAAAUCUGUUCGCUUAACGAGCAGGCGUCCAGCGGAAACUGUUCGGCUUGGGACCGGAAGACCUGAGGGGUACGUCCGGGGUAGGAGUGAAAUCCUGUAAUCCUGGACGGACCACCGGUGGCGAAAGCGCCUCAGGAGGACGGAUCCGACAGUGAGGGACGAAAGCUAGGGUCUCGAACCGGAUUAGAUACCCGGGUAGUCCUAGCUGUAAACGAUGCCCGCUAGGUGUGGCGCAGGCUACGAGCCUGCGCUGUGCCGUAGGGAAGCCGAGAAGCGGGCCGCCUGGGAAGUACGUCUGCAAGGAUGAAACUUAAAGGAAUUGGCGGGGGAGCACUACAACCGGAGGAGCCUGCGGUUUAAUUGGACUCAACGCCGGACAUCUCACCAGCUCCGACAGUAGUAAUGACGGUCAGGUUGAUGACCUUACCCGAUGCUACUGAGAGGAGGUGCAUGGCCGCCGUCAGCUCGUACCGUGAGGCGUCCUGUUAAGUCAGGCAACGAGCGAGACCCGCACUCCUAAUUGCCAGCAGUACCCUUUGGGUAACUUGGGUACAUUAGGUGGACUGCCGCUGCUAAAGCGGAGGAAGGAACGGGCAACGGUAGGUCAGUAUGCCCCGAAUGAGCUGGGCAACACGCGGGCUACAAUGGUCGAGACAAUGGGAUGCAACUCCGAGAGGAGGCGCUAAUCUCCUAAACUCGAUCGUAGUUCGGAUUGAGGGCUGAAACUCGCCCUCAUGAAGCUGGAUUCGGUAGUAAUCGCGUGUCAGAAGCGCGCGGUGAAUACGUCCCUGCUCCUU
rnacentral:rRNA from 1 species